GAGGGAGGAAGCGGAAGCGCGCAGUCAUGGCGGGUGUGGAGAAGCAGAGCGAGGUUUCUCUCCCUAAACACUCCUACUGGUUCGACUUCUGGACUUUUCUCCUGUUUGACAUCGUGUUUUUCCUCUUCAUGUACUUUAUCGUUCCCUGAGUGACUCCAUCCAUGACAUGCAAGGAGCAGGAGAAUGGAGCUGGUGGCUGAGCUGCAGAGAAGAUGAGACUGGUUGGAGACAGCGGUACAGCCAUCACUGCACCCAUGGCUUUGUCUGAUCCAGACUUAUCCAGUAAUGUGGCCGUCUGCAGCACAGAACUACAUUUUACACUCUUUAAAACCCUGACUCAAACAGCUACACUAACCCAACACUCCGCAAAAUGAAUCUAAUCAUUCCUUUACAUGCCUUUUGUCUUUUUCUAAAUUGUGGUUAAUCUUUAAACUUGGAUAAAUUAUUAUUUUGAUUUAAUACCUCUGCUCUGUUUGCUGACCUGUAGGAAUGUUCAAGGUAUGCUGUGUGUGAAAAAGUGGUUGGUAUAAGUUUGUUUUUAUCUGAUUCAUGUGAUUCACUGGCAACUAAAAUUAAAUUCUCUUAAUAUAUUUUUAA